CAAAAGAUAUCUGAAGAAGCCAAUAUGAUCAGCGAAACACGUCAUGUCCGACGUCAUCACAUUACGCCGUUACGUCACUGCCCCGCCCCCAGAACUGUUUUUGAAGUGGACUUUGCAAAUUUUUAGCCCUAAAAAAGCUUGCAAACGGGCUAAGUGCAAUCUUGCUAUUGUGGGCAGAGCCGGCGCAUUCAUAAGACGGCACAAGCGGCCACCUUAGGGCGCACGGCCCGGGGGGGGGCGCUAGAUCGGAGGGACCGGCAGGAGGUGGGCGC